GACGAACGCUGGCGGCGUGCUUAACACAUGCAAGUCGAACGGUGAAGGGACCGGUUUUUGCUGGUUCUGGAUGAGUGGCGAACGGGUGAGUAACACGUGAGUAACCUGCCCCCUUCUUCUGGAUAACCGCAUGAAAGUGUGGCUAAUACGGGAUAUUCUGCGCCUGCUGCAUGGUGGGUGUGGGAAAGAUAUUGUUUCGGUGGGGGAUGGGCUCGCGGCCUAUCAGCUUGUUGGUGGGGUGAUGGCCUACCAAGGCGGUGACGGGUAGCCGGCCUGAGAGGGUGGAUGGUCACACUGGGACUGAGACACGGCCCAGACUCCUACGGGAGGCAGCAGUGGGGAAUAUUGCACAAUGGGCGCAAGCCUGAUGCAGCGACGCCGCGUGAGGGAUGGAGGCCUUCGGGUUGUAAACCUCUUUCGCCAGUGAAGCAGGCCUGUCCCUUUUGUGGGUGGGUUGACGGUAGCUGGAUAAGAAGCGCCGGCUAACUACGUG
rnacentral:rRNA from 1 species